AAUAAGUUCGUUUGGGUUUUUCCAUAAGAUGUAAUGGGAAAACUUGAAUGAACUUUUUGG
ensembl:miRNA